rnacentral:rRNA from 3 species
UGGGGGAUAUUGCGCAAUGGGGGAAACCCUGACGCAGCAACGCCGCGUGAAGGAAGAAGGCCUUCGGGUUGUAAACUUUUGUCUUUGGGGACGAUAAUGACGGUACCCGAGGAGGAAGCCACGGCUAACUACGUGCCAGCAGCCGCGGUAAUACGUAGGUGGCGAGCGUUGUCCGGAUUUACUGGGUGUAAAGGGCGUGUAGGCGGGAUAGCAAGUCAGAUGUGAAAUACCAAGGCUUAACUUUGGGGGUGCAUUUGAAACUGUUAUUCUUGAGUGUCGGAGAGGGAAGCGGAAUUCCUAGUGUAGCGGUGAAAUGCGUAGAUAUUAGGAGGAACACCAGUGGCGAAGGCGGCUUUCUGGACGAUAACUGACGCUGAGGCGCGAAAGCGUGGGGAGCGAACAGG